CAGUGCCGGGGCGCCGCCGGACGAGACCGCCCAACCAGCACAGAGAAAACCCAAAGUCCCAGAGGCAAUUCCCGGUCCCCCACUAACUAUCCGUGUUAUCUUCUUACGUCUCUUGUGCUUGCAUAUUAUUAAAAUUCUUCAAGAGUUGCUAUUGAGAAACAAAAGCUGCGAGAGUUUCCCCUGCCGAUCAACGUUGUAAACAUAUUUAGCAUGUAUGUAGGAGAGAAAUAGCUAGAUUAAUCACCUCUAGUAACUUGAGGGCAGAGAGACGACGGUGGGGAGGUUGUGUUGGUAGAACCAGUUUCUGGCCUGGGAGGUUUGUUGUGCCAUGGUGUUGGUGCCAGGGCAGAGUUGGCUGGGCCACUGGGCUGUGAUGAGUGGGCCGUAAUUUUUCUUUUUCUCUUUUUAAAAUGCUACUAAUAACCCUCUCGGUUAUUGGGUUUGGGUUUGUUAGACUGUUUCACAUGUUUAUACUUUUUCAUUCUCCAAUAGCAAGCCCCUGUUUUUAUGCCUAAUUAGAAGCGCAAAAAGAGAAACAGGGCAAAACAGAGACGCGCCACUACCGCAGCUCAGAGAGAAAAAGAGAGUGGCCACAGCAGCUAUCAACUUAGCCCUCGUAAAGCCGUCGCCUUUCUCUGUUCCAAAGCCUCAAAAACCUUCAAAGCUUAGGGUUUUCACUCUCCGAUGCUCCUCCGCCACCGCAAAUGCCGUCUCAGAUUAAUGAGCUGCGUGAGGACAUAUGUAUUUCUGACUAUUAUUGGGCUGGUGGCGGAGAACUAAGGUCUCUAAAUGCUUGGUUCGGUCCAGCUGGGACUGUAACCUCAUUACACCAUGAUCCGCACCAUAAUGUGUUUGCCCAGACUGCAAUUUGUAGCGCCCAUGAGACAUGACUGUUCUAACUUGUAGUUGGGAAAAAGUAGAUAAGGCUCUAUCAUGCUUCAUUGUCAGAGGAACUCUAUCCACAUGCUGAAAUCAUGCUUUGCAACUCAAGUCAGGUUGAUCUAGACAACAUAGAUGAGAAAGAAUUCCUGGAGUUGCAGGACUUAGAAUUUCUUGACUGCAUUUUAGAGGAAGGUGACAUGCUUUAUAUCCCACCAAAGUGGUGGCACUAUGUGCGGUCUCUGACAACAAGUAUGUCGGUUAGCUUUUGGUGCAGUGAUUAUGACAGUUAAGCUACGUCUUGAAAGUUUGUGGUUUCAUUGCCUUCUUAUUGAUUCAUUUUGAUAUAUUGUCAGACAGGGCAGUUUUCAGUUUUGGAGUCUUACAUUCUCAUGUAUAUAUCCUGCUGUGUUAUAUUCACGAUGAGCCUUACAGAAGUCUAGGGAGAAAGAAACUGUUUCUAACAAUUUUGAGUAGUAUUUUUAACAUCUUUA